rnacentral:lncRNA from 1 species
AUAAUUAUUAUUUAAUUUUAAUAUUACUUUUUAUUUUAUUUUAUAAAAAAAAUAAAUUUGGUUUUUUUUUGCGGUAAUAAAAUGAAAUUCCAAUAAAUAAUAAAAAAAAAGAAUUGUAAAGAACAUAUUUAUUAUAUAAAAUAAAUGUAUACUGCAAGAGAAAUAUUUAAAAAAUAAUUAUGAAAAUAAAAAAACUAAUCAAAUAAUGUUCCAAAAUCUACAUUAUCGUCUGGCACAUGCGGUUUAGAGGUCUGGGGGUCUACAGGGGCCGUCGUCUGGUGGGGAUACUUGGGAUGGGCGGGCUCGGAGGUCGGCACAUCAAAAUGCGAGACUGGAAUGCCGGACUGUGCGAGGGACUGCAGAAUGACCGACAUCUGACUCUGAAGAGUGGCCACCUGUGCUGUCAAAGCAGUGACCUGACUGUUUGACUGCGCUGAUGAACGUGGUCUGGGUUCCCUCCGCCUGGCAUUCCCCAUCCCUCGACAAUAUGUCCCUGGUCUCCUCCCGAGAGUCUGAUCCAAUGUCUCCAUCAAGAUCUAAAAUCCAGCAUCCUGUGGAGGAUCCACAGACUCGAUCGGAGUAUCGGGAGGAAGUUGGGAGGCGGACUCCUGAAGAACCAACUGGCUCUUCUCCACCAUCGUCGUCUGUUUAGCAUAACAUAAAAUAUAAAUUAAAACAUUCAUAUAAUAGCCUUUAAACUUGAAUGCGUAACAUAAUAAUUAAAAUUAAAUAAUACUCACAUGAAGGGACUCGGCCAACUCAUUCCCAGGUCGAACAUAAAUGUCGCCAAAGACGUCGAUCUCUGAGAAUUUGGACCCCCCUAAAUCGAACAAGAGAAGAAAAAUAUUAGUACAAAAACCAUUCUUUAUGAAUAAUUAAAAAUUAAAAAUUAAAUAAAAAUUAUUUUAUUAUUACCUGCCGCCGUGCAUCCAUCCUAUAGGAGAAGGGCCUGGAACCGGAAUGAUGGAUAAGAGUCUUCUUCUUCCUAUUGCCCUUAUUAACUUUGGCUUUAUUCUGUUAUACAAAAAAUAAAACAUAUUAGUUGAAAUUGAAAUUAAAUAUAAAACAUUAAAAAAGAACAUUAAUAAGAAAAAUAUAAUAAAUUUGAAAUUCAUAUUACAAAUUACCACAAAAGCGGGCGCCUGAAAAUGAGCUCAGAGCCACGCUCAACUAUCCUCUCGCCCCUCAAGCUCCUUCGGGCAACCCUCCUGAAGAGCGACUUCUUGAUCAUCAAACGCCUCAAAAUAGUGGUGCAAGUCACUCUUCCACUGUUUGUACCUCUUAGAGAAGAGUCUGUUGACGUAUGCCAACGACUCGUCGUCUAGGUCCUCCAAGUUGUAGUUCGUCUGCAAUAAAUUAAUUACAUACAUUUAAAUAAUAGAAAUAUAAAAUUUGAAAGAAAAAGAAUUAAAAGGCCUACAUACCGACAACUGGCCGCGAACCUCCGUCUUGGUCUCGUUAAGCAUCACCUUCCAAGACUUCCAUUUCAUCGGGCAAUGGCUCCGAAUGACAUGACCAAUGUCGUGGGCCAAGGAGCUAUGCAACUCUGCCGUCGGUGCAGCCCGAUGUUGCUCGUCGUAUCCGAUGUUGAUACGACUGUUGGCCACCCGGGUGACCUUCGCCGUCUUCAACUGCCGACACGGCCCUCGGGUGUUCUUCUUGGCUGCAAAGAAAGAUGACAUUAAUGUUAAAUAAAUAACAAAUUUAACUAUAAAAUACACACACACAAAUAAAAACAAAAACAAAAACCAAAACAAAAAUAAAAAACAAAAAUAUAAAUAAAUGGAGUUUAAGGAUAUCUAUACCUAGCUGUGACCCCGAUGCAUCAGUGGAUGUGGUGUCGGUGGUGCUGGCGGGGCGAUGACGCCGUCUGGCGCUAACAGGCUGUGCCACUGAUGAAGCUGAUGAAGUAGGCGCCUGGGACCCCGCGGGACCAACUGCCAAGUGGUCCAUCAGUGCUGGCGCAGUGGCAGCAGAUGUCGGCUGAGCCGGGGGCUCCGAACUCUGCGUAGUCGUCACCGCCCUACGACGUCUAAUCAGGUCUGACAUCUGCACAAUUUCAUUAAUACACGUAUAAAUUAAUAAAAUAUAUGAAUAUUUGAAAGCGCAUACAAUUUUAUUAAGAUUCUUGACCUAGGGUUUGCGAGUUCGGAGUAUCCGGGACUCCGAUCCACGAUCCAACGAAUCCUAGACGAUCCUAGAAAUACAAGGUACACCAUACGUGAGUUUGAGACUCAAAAGGUAACCAAAUUCCAAUCCGAAAAUACCUACACGCUCGUGACAAAUAGGGGAUUGCACUGGGACCCAAUGCAGUGGUGCUACAGUACCCCACGCGCCACCACACACGCCAGUAGCGCGUGGGUGUCCAAAGCGAUACCAAUCGCUGGAAAUUUCUAAAAACUAAGGGCCAAGGUUCCUACCCUAGGUUCAAAACAUCAAUUGGAGCCACUUUUGUUCUUGGACCUACCCUGAAAAAUGACCAGAAGUGGCCGGAAUUGAAAUUCAAAAACCGGCCGAAACUUAGGGUUUUGAAAUCGACUGACCUAUUGCAACAAUUACAUAAAUCCUACCCAACCAUCAGCUAAAGCAUCUAAAAUAGGAUAGAAACCAUACCUUAAUUGU